UCCUACGGGAGGCAGCAGUAGGGAAUCUUCCGCAAUGGACGAAAGUCUGACGGAGCAACGCCGCGUGAGUGAUGAAGGUUUUCGGAUCGUAAAGCUCUGUUGUUAGGGAAGAACAAGUGCGAGAGUAACUGCUCGCACCUUGACGGUACCUAACCAGAAAGCCACGGCUAACUACGUGCCAGCAGCCGCGGUAAUACGUAGGUGGCAAGCGUUGUCCGGAAUUAUUGGGCGUAAAGGGCUCGCAGGCGGUUUCUUAAGUCUGAUGUGAAGGUCCCCGGCUCAACCGGGGAGGGUCAUUGGAAACUGGGAAACUUGAGUGCAGAAGAGGAGAGUGGAAUUCCACGUGUAGCGGUGAAAUGCGUAGAGAUGUGGAGGAACACCAGUGGCGAAGGCGACUCUCUGGUCUGUAACUGACGCUGAGGAGCGAAAGCGUGGGGAGCGAACAGGAUUAGAUACCCUGGUAGUCCACGCCGUAAACGAUGAGUGCUAAGUGUUAGGGGGUUUCCGCCCCUUAGUGCUGCAGCUAACGCAUUAAGCACUCCGCCUGGGGAGUACGGUCGCAAGACUGAAACUCAAAUGAAUUGACGGA
rnacentral:rRNA from 1 species